GGAGGGUAGCUAAGUGGUAGAGCACAUGCUUAGCAUGCACAAGAUCCUGGGUUCAAUCCCCAGUACCUCCA
rnacentral:tRNA from 1 species